rnacentral:lncRNA from 1 species
AACCUGCAUAAAACAUAGAUAUAUGACCUGCAGAAUAUACGCUUUUGGGUUUCUGUUGACAUGGCUAUCAUUAGCUAAUAUUUCCACAAGCUGACAUCCUUGAAAACUGACAACACGCUAUUCUCAGCGACUGUCUACUCACUCUUUUUGGGUACAAAACUUUUUCGAGGUAAAAGUUCAAAAGGUAUGUGCGAAGGUUUUGUUAGACUCAGUAUAGCAGUGUAACGAAUAAUACUGUGCUUAAGUUUACUUAGACUGGUAAACUGCAUUGUUGUUGUUCAGUGUGAUUGUGAAGAUGUCCUCAUCCUGCAACAUUCCAAUACAUAGAUGCAUCAUCAUCAUGUUCAUCAUCAACAUUCCAGGACUUUGUAUACCACCGUUGAAUAUUUAGCCUGCAGAGGUACACUAUGGCAAUACGGUUAUUAUUGAUCUUAUAUUCAUAUAUUUUUUUCUCAUUCAAUGAAUGACUGAUUCUGUUGGUUUGUAAAACUGCAAAUAUUUUAUCAGUUGGAUUGUUCAACGCUGCACCUGCCAACCUAGUGUAGAGAUCUCCCUGUCUACCUGGUGUAGAGAUCUCCCUGCCUACCUGGUGUAGAGAUCUCCCUGUCUACCAGGUGUAGAGAUCUCCCUGUCUACCAGGUGUAGAGAUCUCCCUGUCUACCUGGUGUAGAGGUCUCCCUCCCAACCUGGUGUAGAGAUCUCCCUGUCUACCAGGUGUAGAGAUCCCCCUGUCUACCAGGUGUAGAGAUCUCCCUGUCUACCUGGUGUAGAGGUCUCCCUCCCAACCUGGUGUAGAGAUCUCCCUGGGUACCUGGUGUAGAGAUCUCCCUGUCUACCAGGUGUAGAGAUCUCCCUGUCUACCAGGUGUAGAGAUCUCCCUGGGUACCUGGUGUAGAGAUCUCCCUGUGUACCUGGUGUAGAGAUCUCCCUGUUGUGUCAAUUGUCUUAUGUAUCUGUCCAUCAUGUAUGAAUCAUUGACUCUAUGAGCUUGUCAUUUAUCAGCUGUAUACCCGGGACUACAAAAGGGGCAAAGUAAUAAACAGCUAUGUUCAUUUGGCAAUGGUGAAUAACUCGAUAUUUUGUGUAUCCUUAUUGUCAGAAUACUGCUUGUGUCAAAAAUGUCAUGUAAGGUAGAUUUACAGUAUUUGCGGGAGUUUUGCUUGGAUGACAGACUGGUACUACUUACAUAGUACAUCAAGUCCCACUGCAGGAGCAGUGGCGAGGGUGCUGGGAGAACGUUGUGUGGCUCGUUGAUGUUGCUGUGUGACGUGUUGUAUGUUGUGUACAGACAGCAGAUGUUUGGGUAGAACCUACACUGAAAUACUGUUUAUGGGGAUGGUAAUGUUCUCCGGACAAUGACACAGACAAGUGUAUAUAUUUAGUGAAUCUUCUGAAGUGUGUAUCAGUGUAACUAACAAUAAACAACCAACAUACUUCUUUCCUAACAAUAACCAACAGGAAGGUAGAACUUCUCGCUUCAGACAGAUCCAGACUAACAAUGUUUCACUUGAACACAUGCAGUAAACACACACACACACACACACACACACACACACACACACAACAUACACUAUAAAUGGCUCUAUGACUGCUUAGCUUGACUUGCAAUAAUACUGAAAAUCUUUUGAAACGGUCAUGUUUUUGCAGUUCAUGUUUUCAUCUUGUAGUGUUCCCAUCUGCAAGUCAGCUGAAGCUUGCUCUGUGUUGCAUAGCAACCAGUUUACUCAACUUGGCAGAACAAAACAAAUUAUAUUAAUUAUUUUUCAAAACAUGUAGAGGAAACUGUUCAUUUUUCAUAUUCCACCAGUAACUUAGUACUGUUGCAAACAAAAAUGCAUGUGUCAUCCAUUUUUGUAUGCUGAGUGCGAUAUACUUGUUUGUCCGACAAGUCAUCAGAUUAUGUUAUAUAUUUAACACAGAUUCUCUUAAUGUACUCUGAAAGCACUGUUUGUAGGCAGCCUGAAAAUAGUCAUCACAAACUGUGUUUAAUCACUUGUGCGAAGGUUUUCAUACUUUCAGAUAAUACAGUUCAUGCUGACUACCUGAUACAUGACCAUGUGUCUGUGCAUUUGUCAUGCAAAACCUUUGUUUGCUUUGUAGUUUUAAGAUUCUCACAAACCCUUGUACAUGCCAUGCUUUGUAGGAAACAGUGAAACCUUGCUUCCUUGUCACCCCGGGAAACCGACGGUUUUAUGGCGUUAUUCUUCUGUGUAAGCUGAGUAGCAAUCUGUAAUGUGAGGUCAGCAAGUUAAAGUGUUAGGUGGGGAUUGGGUUUGCAUGGUCUCACUGUGAGAGAGUUUAAAUCUUCAUCACUGUUUUUGCUGCAUCCAAUCAAUUUUUCGUUUUAGGUUAUAAUCCCUUCAAAAGAUGAAUAAUUUUGUUUAUAUUUUAUGAUCAUACAGGUAAUAUUUUUGGUUUGUGAAUAGCAGAUAUAUAUUUGUUAAACAUGUAAUUAUAAAGAUGGCAACAAGAGUGAUAAGUGAUGUUUGAAUUACCACUCUUUACAGAUUCAUUUGUGCUGUUUGCCUUUAUGCAAUUCACUGGUAAUAAACAAUGGAUUUUUA